ACUGUAGCGAGGUGCGCGCGAGACCUCAUUGUUGUGUUCGCGAGCGCAGGAGGUGGUGGUCUCACAGCAACCGCUGUUUGUUUAAUCGAUUAACUUUCGGCCAUAACCCGAAUCUUAAUAGUUUGGUGUAAAAUACAAUGAGUUACGGUAGACCUCCGCCUGACGUAGAAGGCAUGACUUCGUUAAAGGUAGAUAAUUUAACGUAUCGCACAUCGCCGGAGACGCUGAGGCGCGUCUUUGAAAAGUACGGCCGAGUCGGGGACGUUUAUAUCCCUCGGGACCGAUACACGAAAGAAAGCAGAGGUUUCGCCUUCGUGCGCUUUCACGACAAGAGGGAUGCAGAAGAUGCGAUGGACGCCAUGGAUGGAGCGAUUUUGGAUGGACGAGAGCUCCGGGUUCAGAUGGCCCGCUACGGUAGGCCGCCCGACUCGUACUAUGGUGGACGUCGCGGCGGGGGACCCGCGAGGAGACACGGCGGACAUGGCCGCCGCAGCAGCCGAAGCCCAAGACGUCGCCGACGCAGCCGUUCCAGAAGCAGGAGCCGUUCUCGUUCCCGCAGCCGCUCCCGUUACAGCAGAUCACGGUCACGCUCCUAUUCCCGCUCCCGAUCUCAUUCCAAGUCGCACAGCCCCCGUAAGAGGAAGUCCAAGUCUCCCUCCAAGUCUAGGUCCCGUUCAAGAUCCAAAUCCAGGUCUCGUUCCAGAAGCCGCACCCCUGCGUCGAACAGAGAGUCCAAGUCCAGGUCAAGAUCUAAAAGCCAACCAAAAUCUGCUGGCGAGGAAGCGCCCACAUCAUCCUAAAUGCUCAAAGUGCUGCUGAAUCCAGUAUGGAAAUGUAAAAGCAGGGGUGUGAGGUGAAGUUUUGGCUGUUAGAGGUGUGUGUGAUCCAGCCACCUGCUCCUGUUGGGGUUGCAUUGGAGCAGAUGGGUGUUUUGGUGGUGCUGAGGUACGUCUAUGAGACAAUGGACAGACAGCAUCCUACCCUAAAAGUGCAAGCAUAAACCAAUUGCCUUCUUUGACCUGGAAAUGUGAAAAACAAAAUAAUGCAUAGGUCGAUUUCGUCAUGGGACGUUUCUAAAUACAUGACCUCUGUUGGAGCCUGAGGAACCUCGGAUUGAGAAUCUCCAAAAUCUACGCAAAGCCUACUUGGGCCUAAAGGUCAUUAUGACUGAUUGGCAUAUAAACGAACUGUUUGAUUGUUUCACAGCCCUUUUGUUCUUUAAAUAAAUACAUUGUCCUUAUUUUCAGUGAGGAUGUUUUAAAUGUCUAUGUCCUUUUUUUUAAUUCGUUGAGUAGGACGAACGUCACAAUUCUAUUGGCCUUUAAGGUAAACCCAGUGUCUCGGUGAUGGUUCAGAAGGUGUUAGAUGCACCUCACUUGUGUAAUAUUUUUGCAAGACGCUGUUAAGUCUAUUCAGCUUGGCUUUUUUUGUUGUUUUGCUUUAAUCUCCAAAUGUUUAAGAAUGAUCCCUAUGCUUUAUCUUGAAGUGGCUCAAAAAUAUGAAGUUUUUCCUUUCUAAUCAACAUAUAUGAUGUUGAUGUGUGAUUGUAACACUUGUUGUAUUUUACUUUAUUUUAGUUUUUUGACAUUUGGAUUCUAACCCCAUGUCUUGUGUAUUUUUUGUGCACUAGGCGCAGUUGUCUAGCUGUUGAGUAUUGCGGUUAGCUGUUAAGAUCCGGUGUUGCAGUGCUUGGCUGUUUCCGGUUUUCUCCAGAUUGCAGCUGUUGCAGGUGUGGCCGAGGUCAAACAGCAUCUGCUGAUAGAUGUUUGGUGGUUUAAGCAAUGUUGUCAAUUAAAGUUCUUUCAUUCUUGUUCCAUGAUUUGGAAAAUUGGGAGUACCACUUGCUGAUAUAACCAGGAAGUCAUAACAAUACAAUUUGUUCUGUCAUUUCAUUUUUGAAUCUUCAAUAAAUCGAAUAAUAAAGUACUUUGCUUUGA